rnacentral:rRNA from 1 species
CAGUAGCCACGGUAAGACGGAGGGUGCUAGCGUUGUUCGGAAUCACUGGGCGUAAAGGGCGCGUAGGCGGCCUGUUAAGUCGGAUGUGAAAGCCCGGGGCUCAACCCCGGAACUGCAUCCGAGACUGGCAGGCUUGAGACCGGGAGAGGAGGGUGGAAUAUCCAGUGUAGAGGUGAAAUUCGUAGAUAUUGGAUGGAACACCGGUGGCGAAAGCGGCUCUCUGGCCCGGAUCUGACGCUGAGGCGCGAAAGCGUGGGGAGCAAACAGGAUUAGAUACCCCAGUAGUCCCUGUCUCUUAUAC